rnacentral:rRNA from 1 species
UACGAAGGGGGCUAGCGUUGCUCGGAAUUACUGGGCGUAAAGGGCGCGUAGGCGGAUACUUAAGUCGGGGGUGAAAGCCCGGGGCUCAACCUCGGAAUUGCCUUCGAUACUGGGUAUCUUGAGUUCGGGAGAGGUGAGUGGAAUGCCGAGUGUAGAGGUGAAAUUCGUAGAUAUUCGGCGGAACACCAGUGGCGAAGGCGGCCUGCUGGGCUACUGCUGACACUGAGGCGCGACAGCGUGGGGAGCAAACAGGG